rnacentral:rRNA from 1 species
GACGAACCGUCCAAACGUUAUUCGGAAUUACUGGGCUUAAAGGGUGCGUAGGCGGCGCGGAAAGUUGGGUGUGAAAUCCCUCGGCUUAACCGAGGAAUAGCGCCCAAAACUACCGUGCUCGAGGGAGACAGAGGUGAGCGGAACUGAUGGUGGAGCGGUGAAAUGCGUUGAUAUCAUCAGGAACACCGGUGGCGAAAGCGGCUCACUGGGUCUCUUCUGACGCUGAGGCACGAAAGCUAGGGUAGCGAACGGG